rnacentral:rRNA from 1 species
CAGGGGGGAAAAGCAAGCUUUUGCUUCUUUUGCUGACGAGUUGGCGGACGGGUGAGUAAUGUCUGGGAAACUGCCUGAUGGAGGGGGAUAACUACUGGAAACGGUAGCUAAUACCGCAUAACGUCGCAAGACCAAAGAGGGGGACCUUCGGGCCUCUUGCCAUCGGAUGUGCCCAGAUGGGAUUAGCUAGUAGGUGGGGUAACGGCUCACCUAGGCGACGAUCCCUAGCUGGUCUGAGAGGAUGACCAGCCACACUGGAACUGAGACACGGUCCAGACUCCUACGGGAGGCAGCAGUGGGGAAUAUUGCACAAUGGGCGCAAGCCUGAUGCAGCCAUGCCGCGUGUAUGAAGAAGGCCUUCGGGUUGUAAAGUACUUUCAGCGGGGAGGAAGGGAGUAAAGUUAAUACCUUUGCUCAUUGACGUUACCCGCAGAAGAA